rnacentral:lncRNA from 1 species
AAAAGCUUACUUUAGAGGUUGUAGAAAAAUUUCUGCAGAAAUGACAAUUGACGUAAGUUCAUUACAUGUUCUUGUAAAUGCCUCGUCUUUGUUAAACUCUUUCAAGCAGUUUAAAUUGUUAACAAGACUGAAGGGAUUUGAAAUGGAGAGUAACAUAAAUUGUAACUAUUUUCCAUACUUUUCGAUUACAAUCAGCUAAUAUUCAUAUUAAAUUAGGACAACCCAAAUGGCUGUCAACAAAAUCUGCAUACGACGAUGCGUUAACCAAGUUAACCAGGAAUAAAUUGAACAACAUCAGCAUACAUUACCUGUAGUCCAGCUUAUAAGUAACAAACAGGCAAAACACAUACAAUCCUAGAAGAAAACAUUGUUUUGAACAAGGCAAUGCCAAAUGUAGACGCGUUUAGUUACUUAUUCAUCCAAAUUUAUACGCGACCCAUUGAUCAUCACUAUAGGACAUCACAGUGGCACCGUCAGGGAUUGCCCUGUUUGUGCUGCGCGGAUAAACCACAUUCGUCCUAUGUUUGCCUUCAACCGACUGCUUAACGGAUUCAAUGGCAAUUGAAUGUUCAGCAGGUAUAGAAAGUGAAGAUGCCCCGUGAAAUGAGGAAUUAUGAGUCGAUGAACCUGUCAUAUCAGCAUUCACAUUCUCAGAUGAAGUCUUUUGUCUUUUAGCAAUUAUCUUGCCUUCUGGAGAUUAAGAAAAACUGAAGUCAUUGAUAAAUUGUCUAAAAUGAGAGGUAAAAAGCUAAAUAACUAAUGAAAUGAACAUGCAAAUGUACAUCACUGGAUAGGUAAGCCAAAAAAAAAAAAAAAAAAAAUUCUUAAUCACAAGGCCUUAAAAUAAAAAUUAUCGGUCCGUUUGAUUUGUGUUUCAAUUUUCAAUUUUGAGUUCAUUUUCUAUUUUCUAUUUUGAUUGCCUGUUUUAAGAUUGCUUAAAACACGAUUGAUUUAUUAUUUCAAAAAAAUAUUUUUCAAAGCGGAAAGAUAAAAAAAUUGAUUUGAAAUUUUGUAAAAUUAUUUUAUGAUAUUUUAUUUCACGAAAUUUGAUUAUUCAUGAAAAUAGAACAAUUUUAUGUUAAUAUAUUAUCAAAUAAUACAUACAUUUUAAGGUUAGUAAACCUUAAAGUAGGUUUAUGCUGCUUAUACAGAUUCAUUUUGUCAGAUUGGUAUCAGAUUCAUACUUGACAAUUUAUGAUUGAAUGGUUGAAAAAUAUUUUUUACACAAUUGCCAAAUUUCUCCAGCCAAGUAUGAAUCUAGCACCAUUAUAACAAAAUAAAUAUGUUCAUAUAGCAUAUCUCCUUAAAAUAUCGUUUCUCACUACAAAAUAAAAUAAAAUAAAGAAGUAAUAUAUUGAGUUAAAAAUAUUGAAAAUAAAAACAAAAAUUAAUGGACUAAAAAUAUUUUUAUUUGUGCUCAUUUAAACAUUUUUCUAGAAUUUUUGUGUAAACAAUCUAUAAGAACUUCGACUAUUUUUAUUUUUUACUUUUCUAGAAAUUUUUAGAAUUUUUUUUUUUAUAUCUUUUAGAAUUUUAAUUUUUUUAGAAUUAUUGUUUUUUCAGAAUUUCUGUUCAACAUUUUUUUUUUGGAAAAAUUUAUCAAUUUUAUUUUUUGAGUUCAAUUUUUUUUAAAAAAAAUAAAAUUAAAACUUCAUUAAUUUUCAUUUUUUAAAUGCUUUUUAAAUUUUGAGGGUUUUCAUAAUUUUCAUUGAAAACACUCAAAACGUCACAAAUGCGUUUUGAGUUUAUAUUAUAAGCUUAACAUUAUUUUCAAAAAUACAUUUUUAGAAAUAUCAUAUCAAAUACAUUUUGAUAGCAAACCAACGCCCCUUUAGUAGUUAUGUACAUAUAUAACAUAGUUCAUGCUUAUAAGCCCUGUAAUCCAUUGUUGCUGAUUAACCAUUCCGGUGACAACCGGAAUGAGAUCCGGAUCCAGUCCACUUUGAUCCGCAUCGAUAGCAAAAUUCGUAUUUGCACCUGCACGUGAUGUGUAUACAACCAUCACAUUAAGCCAUGAGCUAAAUUAUAUACAGGUAACAUUUCUACAUAUAAAGAACAAAUAAAAGAAGGGGAUGAGGGAGACUGCACAAGAAAUAAAAGCUCUAGAGCAGAUAUAACUUGACUAGCUUCUGCACAAGGGAAAGGACUUGAGAUACAAGGAGGUAAACACAAUAAGUUUUCAGAAAUAUCAGGACAGCCAAUGCAUCAACAUUAAGCCAUGAGCUAAAUUAUAUACAGGUAACAUUUCUACAUAUAAAGAACAAAUAAAAGAAGGGGAUGAGGGAGACUGCACAAGAAAUAAAAGCUCUAGAGCAGAUAUAACUUGACUAGCUUCUGCACAAGGGAAAGGACUUGAGAUACAAGGAGGUAAACACAAUAAGUUUUCAGAAAUAUCAGGACAGGAAUUGAUAGAAAGAAGGUAAAGAAUUAGAGACUUCGGAAAAUAAUUUUCUUUUUCAACGCAUUAACAGCCUUCUCACGUCAGUUUAUAUACAUACAAGAGGAAGAAAAUUUGGAAAAACUAAUCUCCUAAAUUAGGAAACAAAUUAGCCUACAAAAUAACAAAAAUAUGUAAUCCCUAAUUAAUUACAAUUAUUAGAACUGGGUUUCUUUCCUUUUUCUUCUCUUGAUCGUUUUCUACACUCCCCCUCAAGUUGAACAGUAAAUGUUGACCAUGUUCACCUUACUAAUGAAAUCAUCAAAUACUUGUCGAGAUAGUCCUUUUGUGAAUAUGUCAGUUGUUUGUUUCUUUGUAGGAAUAUAUGUUAUGCAAAUAAUAUUAUUGUCCACUUUUUCUUUGAUGAAGUGUCAGUCUACUUCUAUAUAUUUGCUCCUUUCAUGUUGCACAUGAUUGAGAGAAAUGUUGAUGCCUGCUUUAUUAUAACAAUAGAGUUUGAUCGGGAAAUCCAUUCUGACUUUCAAUUCUUCCAAGAGUUUCUUUAUCCAUAAGCUUUCACAAAUUCCUUGUACAACAGCUCUAAAUUCAGCUUCAACGCUGCUCCUAGCUACCACAUUUUGUUUCUUACUUCUCCAAGUUGUCAAAUUUCCCCAUACAAAGGUGUAGGAGCCUGUGGUUGAUCUUCUAUCUUCAGUUGAUCCAGCCCAAUCUGCAUCUGUGAACAUUUCUACUCCUUUCCUCUCAUUUUAUUCGAAGAAUAGUCCUCUUUCAGUAGUCCCUUUUAGGUAUCUGAGAAUUUUAUAUGCUGCUUCUUGGUAAGCCUCCCAAGGGAAGUGCAUGUGUUGACUAACCAAGCUGACGGCGAAAGCGAUGUCAAGUCGAAUGUGUGAGAGGUAGAUUAACUUUCCAACUAGUCUUUGGUAUUUGUCUAUAUCCACAGGGUUUCCUGUGUCUCUUGUUGCUUUUCCUGCCUCGAUAGGUGUAUCGCUAGGUUUGCAUCCUAACAUACCAGUUUCCAUCAACAGAUCAAGGAUAUAUUUUCUUUGGGAAACACAAAUACCCUUCCUUGAUCUAGCAACCUCCAUCCCCAAGAAGUACUGCAAUUGCCCAAGAUCUUUCACUUCAAAUUCCGUUGCUAAACAUUUUUUCAAUCUUUCCAUCUCAGCUAUAUUAUCUCCUGUUAGGAUGAUAUCAUCCACAUAUACAAUUAGAAUAGUUAUUGUCCCGUCUGUGGAUCAUCUGAAGAACAUGGUGUGAUUUGACUAUCCUUGCUGAUAUCCUUGACUUCUUAGAACCUUUGCAAAUCUAUCAAAUCAUGCUCUAGGUGACUACUUGAGCCCAUACAAAGAUUUCUUGAGUCUACACACUCGAUUUUCCUCGUUAGAUUUAUUGAAGCUUGGUGGUAUUGUCAUGAAUACUUCUUCUUCCAAUUCUCCAUUAAGGAAGGCGUUCUUGAUAUCCAGCUAUUGAAGGGCCAGUCUAGAUUUAUUAGCAAGUGAUAAGAGGACUCUAACUGUAUUUAAUUUUUUCACUGGUGCAAAUGUUUUUUUAUAGUCAAUGCCAUAUAUUUGUGUAUAUCCUUUGACAACUAAAGGAGCGUUGUAACGUUCUACUGUCCCGUCGGCCUUGUACUUUACAUUAAAGACCCAUUAUAAUAUAUGAAUUUUGAAAUAGGAUUAAAGUACACGAUCGAGUUGGUUUUCUCAGAGCAAUAGGUAGAUCAUCAUUAUUUUGAGGUUGAGAAUCAUCAGAGGACUUCUCAUCAGUUCCCAACAUCGGUUCAGACUUUCUUGGUGCCUCAGGUGUGAGAGUUACCUUGUAUUUUGAUAUAGGCUUCCUUGAAUAAACCAGUAUUUCCUUAUCACUUUGUUCUCCUUCAUCUCCCCCUAAAUUCAAGUUUCCUUCUAUGUAUGGCACUUUAGAGGGUGACUGAAUGAGUAUAUGGGAUAUCAAAGAGAUCAAGGUCAAAGUUUAAGAACUCCAAAUUUGAGACCUAAUCUUCUUUUCAAUUCUCUCCCUGAAGAUGAGGUCGUGGAAAAUAAGGUGUUUAUUCUAAGAAUGUGACAUCAAGGCUAACGAGGACCCUUUUUUUGGAUAGGUCAUAGCAUUUGUAGCCCUUUUGAGUAGGGGAGUACCCGAUAAACACGCAUUUGAUUGCACAUGGUUCCAAUUUAUUUUGAUAAGGGGAGUGAAUGUGUACAAAUGUAGUGUUGCCGAACACUUUUAGUAGUGGGUUUGAAGAAAUACGAGUAGGAAGCAUUCUUUGAGUCUUUGUAGGGGUUACUCGAAGGAAAGAGUUCGACUUGGCAAUCUGUUGAUGAGAUAUGUAGAUGUGAGAAUCGCAUCUCCCCAGAAUGUUCUUGGCAUAUUUGUAGUGAACAUCAAGACACGAACAACUUCUAGAAUGUGUCUAUUUUUUCGUUCAACAAUACCGUUUUGUUGGGGAGUGUUGACACAUGAACUUCGGUGAAUUAUCCCAUGUUUUUUUAGAUAAUCUUGUAAAGUGGUAUUGAAGUAUUUUGUGCCAUUGUCAGUUCGAAAAAUUUGGAGUUGUGUUUGAAUCAUGGGAUGGAAAUUUAUAAAAACUGAUCGAACCUCGAUUUUUUCCUUAAGUAGAUAGACCCAACAUACUCAAUGUGUCUAUUUUUUCGUUCAACAAUACCGUUUUGUUGGGGAGUGUUGACACAUGAACUUCGGUGAAUUAUCCCAUGUUUUUUUAGAUAAUCUUGUAAAGUGGUAUUGAAGUAUUUUGUGCCAUUGUCAGUUCGAAAAAUUUGGAGUUGUGUUUGAAUCAUGGGAUGGAAAUUUAUAAAAACUGAUCGAACCUCGAUUUUUUCCUUAAGUAGAUAGACCCAACAUACUCAAGUGUGAUCGUCAAUAAACGUGACAAACCACAUUGUUUGGGUACGAUUUGGAUUGUGAGAAGGUCCCCAUAGGUUACUGUGAAUUAAGGUAAAUGGCUUAGAUGGGUUAUACGUGAAUUUUGGAAAGAUUGUAUGUUGGUGCUUUGCAAAUCCACAAUUUUCACACUGAAACUCAAUAGAUUUUUUAUUCAUAAAAAUUGAAGGAAAAACAUGCUUGCACACUAGGAUGACCCAUUCUAUUAUGCCAUAAUAAAAUUUCACUAUCACUAGGGGAAGAUGCAGAAUUACAACUUGAGAGGUAACUAGGUUUACUCACGUCAACUUCCUCAAAAUAGUAUAGACCUUCACAUUCUUUAGCACUAUCAAUCGUCUUCUUCGAUGAAAGGUCUUGAAAAAUACAACAUGACGGAAGAAAAAUAGCAGAGCAAUUAGAGUUUUUUGUCAAUUGACUAACAGAUAACAAGUUACAAGACAUGUUUGGAACAUGAAGAACAAAAUCUAGUGUUAUAGUCUCAGAAAUACAAAAACUUCCUUUUCCUGCAACAGGUGAUAGUGAGCCAUCUACAAUUUGGACGCUAAUGUUCCCAAGACAAGUGGAGUAUGAAGAAAAGAGGUGAUAUGCAUCCGUCAUGUGAUCGGAUGCACCAGAGUCUAUAAUCCACGCAUUUUUACACCGUGAAGUGUUUAGAGCUCUGAGGAGGUUACCUUUGUGGGCUAAUGAACUAGAAUGACCUUUAGGAGACGGUUGACCAGAUGUUUGGAAGCUCGCAACCAAUUGAUAAAUUUGCUCAAGUUGUUCGAAAUUGAAUCCACCACUUAAAGUUAGGUUACUUUUAGUUUUUGCUUGAUACCCACGGUUCCUACUGUUUUGCUUCGGUUUCCAGUCAUUGGGCUUCCUCUUAAUUUCCCAACAUGUGUCUAUUUUACGACCCGGCUUACAACAAUGCUCACACCAAGGCCUUUCUCGUUUUUAUGCUGGCCCAUUUAUUCCUCCUUUUGAAAGACCCAAAGCUCCAGAGGCGCAAUUAGUGUUUUCAGUCUCUGGCCCAAGUGUUGGCCCAUUAACUUUACCUCGUCCAAGAAGCCCAUGCUCUUUAGUGUUCUCCAAUCCAUUCUUCUUCUUCCCUGCCAAGGCCAAAAUUUCUACUCCAGCGACUUCUUUCAACAUCACAUGCCGACAAGCUUCUUCCCGACCACCUCCGCGAAGACCUCGCGGAUCGAUGGUAGCGGGUUUCUCCCUAAUAUUCGGCCUCUAACCUCAUCCAACUCCCGAUUCAGCCAUGCAAGAAAUUCGAAUACUCUCUCAUUUUCCUCCUACUUCUUGUACAAGGCGACGUCUUCCUUGCACUUCCACUCCUCUUCGCUACUCAGAUCGAGGUCCUGCCACAGGGAGGUCAUCUCCAUGAAAUAUUCGGUAACAACCCGUGUCCCCUGUUUCAUCUGCCAUAGACGAGUCUUGAGUUCGAAAACUUGUGCAGUGUUCCCGACGUCUAAAUAAGUUUCCUUCACGGCAUUCCAGACAUCUUUUGCCAAUGGGAGGAAGAGAUAGGCUUUCCCUAUCAACAGCUUCAUGGAGUUUACAAGCCAAGCGGUUACCAUUGAAUUUUCAGAAUUCCACCGUUGCAGUUGAGCAGGAUCAACUAGCUUCUGUCUCAUAGGUGAGAUAUCAAAGCUUCCCUUUUCCAUCAGUUAUUAAUUUAAUUGACAGAGCCCAUUCUCGAAAGUUUAUUCCAUUCAAUUUCUCGAUUGUAUGUUGGAAUGAUGAAGUUUCAGUUGUAUUGGAACCAAUGGGGGAGUGGACCUCUGCUUAGGGGUCGAAGAUGAUAGAUCCGAUACUGUUGGCGGGGAAUUCCGCUAUUGAUUGCUAGGUUUGAGCAACCUAGGCUAUGAUACCAUAAAGAAUUAGAGACUUGAGAAAAUAAUUUUCUUUUUCAAUGCAUUAACAGCCUUCUCGCGUCAGUUUAUAUACACACAAGAGGAAGAAAAUUUGGAAAAACUAAUCUCCUAAAUUAGGAAACAAAUUAGCCUACAAAAUAACAAAAAUAUGUAAUCCCUAAUUAAUUACAAUAACUGGGUUUCUUUCCUUUCUCUUCUCUUGAUCGUUUUCUACAGAAAGAUGUAAACUUGACAAGGUAAGGGAAAACUCCUUAGAAAUUGGAGAUAAUAAAGAUACUAUGAGAAGAAAAGAAAAAUUAAAUAAUUAUGAGGCGUGUGUGAAUACAUUAAAAUGGACAAGCAAUGCAGAUAUAUCCAAGCUCCCUUAAAACUGAAUCUUAUUCACGUAUUUAAUUAAUUCAGUCAACUUUUUGGUAGAUUAUAGUCACAUAUUACAUGCAUUAAUAGAUUGAAUUAAGGCAGUGCACCAGCUUUGAAACCGUAAAUUUGAGGAUCCAAAACAGAUUCACAGGCAAUCCACAGAAAGUGGAGGAAUUGCAUUGACAAGCCGUCUAAUGAAAAGACAGUGUUUGGAUAUUGGGGGCCUGUCAAACUCCACUGUAGAUAGGAAUGUUAAUUACACUAGAAGAUUUCAAGCUUAAGAAGUGAACGAAGCAAAGAAGACGAUGCAGAUAAGAAAUGCAAUUGGAUGGGAUGGAAUCCCUAUAAUUAUGGAAAUGCUUGGGCAGAGUUGGUAUUAUAUUUGACAAAAUUAACUAAUGAGAUCAAGAAUAGUAAAAAGAUGCCCAAUGAGUCGAGAAAAGUACAUGCUUGAGCUCCAAUAGAAAGGGGCCUACCUCACUUAUUGACUUGAGCUGUUCUACCUCAAUUGUUGACAUGAGUUGUUAGUGGAGAACAGAGGCAUUGUUGAGCAUGAAUUGGAUAAAAAUAAAAGAAAGCACGAAAAGAAGACAUGAGAUAAGAAAUCCAUUUAUCAAUGGGAAGAACUAAAUGUGCUCCAUGUCUUACAAUGUUCAAGCAAUAUCUAAUACAAAUUCGACCCUUGUUGAUCAGAGUUAUGGGAUUUCGGUAGUGCAAGUUGGAAGAGGGGAGGAUAGACCAAAACUAAUUUGGUUGUGAUAGUUAUUAAGGAUUUAGUUGCCUCAAUUCUCCCAAUAGAGAUAGCAAAUAAAACAAAAUGACCAAAAGUAAUUCAUGUAGACAACCCAGAAUCUAUUCAAAAUAAAGCAUAGUUUGUAGUUGUAUCGGAAACUGUUAAAAUAUUGAAUAUCAAUUAUUAGAAUUCCCAACUCUAAAUGUAUUAUUCAUAAUCAAUGUGUUCAAAGUCCAGUUCAAACACUGAAUAUAUCUAUGUAGUAGGCACAUACAUCACUUAUGUAUUUGCAAAACAAAUUAAUAUCACUUGCCUUUAAGAAACUUCAAUGUGAAAUAAGGAAUGGUAACAAAUGAAACCUAUAAAUACGAUUCAUAACAAGUAUGCGCACAAUUUAACGAAUUCGAUCUGAGAAACAAUAAUUAGUGACUACAUUUAUCAUUCAUAACCAAUAAGCUCAUAGUCAACUUACCAAAAUAAGUUUCUUAACGUAUUGUGCACAUUCUCUAACCAAUAUCAGUAUCAGAAAGAAAUCCAAUACCAGUAACCCAAAAUUAAUUUCAACAAUAUGACCAGCAGAAACUCCUUGUCAUAGCAUGUGUUUUCAUGUGUCAUGCACACUCUUCUACCAAGUUUUCGCACUCAAAUGACGCAUAAGCACACACUUCUGAGCAGCAAAUUUCAAAGAUAGUUCACCAAUUCAAACCUUCAUUACAAACACUAUGAAUGCCUAUGCAGGUGCAAAUUAUUAGGGGAAGAGUGCCACCCCACCCCCCAAACAAAUAAAUAAAUAAAUGUUUCUUCAUAGUGCAAAUCAACUCCACUCCCAAAACAGGUUAUCUGGAAGAUAUGCAAUAGUUAACCAGGAAGUCGUAACUGUUGUAAUAUGCCUUUCUAAUUCAACGAUUUCAACUCAGGGAAGUUUCUGUUUAAAAGAUUGUAGCACUGCAUAAUAUUUUCUUUCCACUCCUGAUUUUCAACUUUUUAGCUAAGAAUCAUAAAAGACAUCAUGUUAACAUAAAAGGUGGCGAAGAAUGUGAUUAAUAGGGGACAGUAUAUUCAACAUGAACUUUUUGGGUAAAUUAGAAGAGAAGUUAUAACAGAAAAUACUUUUAAUUAACAGAGAAGUUCUAUAUCAAUUUCUAAUCAUUUAACUAACCAAGAAUACGAAAACUUUACAUCUUUAUCCAUGUCAACAUAUCCCAAAACACCAAGUUAUAAAGCACAUUAGCUAAGGCAUCAUAUCGAGUAAAACUUAUUUACUUAUCACCUUUAUUGUUUAGUCUUCCCUCCCAUCAGGUCUAAAUGUAUCAAGUUUUUGCACAUUGAAUUUAUACAAAGAUAAAUAUUGCGUUCCUCAAUGUCUAGAUGGGUAGCAUGCAAUAGCUAGAUGACUGACAAGGUGGGUAAAACUAUAGGUAUGCUAAGGGCCAAAGGCACAAACAACCACUUCAGAGAAAUGUGAUCCCAGAACAAAUAGACAAAUGAGAUUCAGUGCAACACAAAAAUUACGGGUAUAAAAUUGAGUGGAACCAAGGAAAAUUCUUAAAUUGCAGAAAAAAGAAGAUUGUAAAAGUAUAUAUUUCAGGACACUUGUUGUAAAAACAAGAAAAUCCAAUAAACUUUUAGGAAGUCUACUUAAAGAACACAGAACUCCCAAAAGAAUUUUUUUUUCAGUGUGUUAUGUACAUGACUGAACUGUACAUUGAGUUCACAUUCGUUAACAUGGAUUUUAAUUUUUUUUUUAGUUUACUGAGGAGUCACAGCUCCAAAGUGUGUACAUACAUACAUACAUACAUAUAUCUUUGCUAUCAUAGAAUUCAAAUUAGAUUAGAAACCAUUGCCUAUGUUGCCAUGGUGAGAAAAUGUAGAUGCAACAAUUUCCAUUCAAUUUAACAAGAUAAAGCUUAACUAUCAAAAAGCAUGUGAAGCACUGAAAGGGUAAUCAGCUAGAAGCCUUUUUCAUCACGUCACUUACGCAAGGUAGCCACUCAUAUUGUUAUACACAAGAUAACGGAAUAAUUGAAGCAGUUGUUUUGAGAGACUAGAACAAACUCAAGCCCAAUAAAAAAUUAGUUUCUUACUCUUAGUAAGAGCAAUGUAAGCCACUUCAGCAGCAUUCAUCUCUGCCUGCUUUUUAGUUUUGGCUUUAGUUCCUUGGAAAGUGUCACUUCCUACCUCCACAACUGACACAAAUACAGGCUUGCGAGGAGGACCUGCUGGGGACGUCUCAUAUAUCGGAUACUUGAGACCUCUUUUUUGGGCCAUUGCUUGUAGAAGAUUUUUGUACAAACCUUUAUCCUGAGGUAAUUAAAAUGCAUAAACGUGAUACAGCAAUAAGAAGGCAAUAAUCAUAACAACAGAAUUAACUGGUUUGAAUACUGGCCUCCUGAAUUUCAACAACAGACAAUGCUUCACAAGCAACUUUGGCUGCUGCAUGUUCAGCGUCUUUUAUCGUGGGAAAAAAUGCUGGUGCUUCAUAUAUUUUUCCAUCUAAUGUGACACUUGACUUAUAGCGGCAAGCGUGAGGAGGGCCUUCGAAUUCACAAGUAUACACAGGCAGACUAAGACCUCUCUUCUGAGCAUAUUGUUGCAAUCGGUUUUUAUAUAUGUGCAACACAUCUGUAACACAAAGAAGAUCAGCAUAUAUGUGCAACACAGCUAUAACAUAAAGAAGAACAGCAGGCGAUAAUGAUCGAGAAAACGACUAUUAUAGUCAUUUAUAAGAUUAUGACUUAUAGUAGUUGGAAACAUAAAUUAUAGCCCAAGAGAAUUACUACAAUCACAUUGCAUGUCCUGUAUCUUGGUUAUACUUUAGUUUUCCCCUGAUUCCAAAUUAUUGCUCCAAAGUUCUAGCUUAUGACCUAGCCCUUUGCUAGUCUCAUCAACUAAACUAUGCCAUUGGCAAACAUAGAUCAAAGAACCUCUUACUAAAAUGUAACAUUGCUCAUGACUAAAUUGAAUAUAUAAGGAUUUAAAGCAGAACUUUGACACGAAUCUAUAGUGAUAGGAAAUUUUCUACUACUACCACCAUAUAUCUCACUCUUGUACCUGCUCUAUCAUGCAUAGAUUUAAGAACAUGGAUCAUCUAUUACAAAUUCAUUCCAUGUGACACCCACCAUGGACCAUCCCUUGACACACUAUCAUAAACAUUUUUCCUAUCCGUAAAAAUUACAUGCAGUUUCAUUCUGCUAUACUUCUCCAUCAAUCUCCUAAGCAUGAAACUGGCUUCCAUUGUAGAUCUUUCCCAUUUAAAGCCAAAUUUAUUCUUUAAUACCUUUCAAUUACACCUUUAUUUGUAAUCAAUCAUCACACUAAUAAUUUCAUAGCAUGGCUCAUGAGUCAUGAGCUUAAUAGCUCUGAAUUUGUACAAUCUAGAAUAUCUCCUUCGUUCUUAUAAAUAGGCAUAUAACACACUUCCUCCAUUUAUGCAACAUUUUUUACUCUAAGACCUAAUUGUAACAAUUCUGCAACCAUUCAAUAACCAGCUUGUUCAUUAUUGUUUAAGCAUGACUUGGUAUUGUCGCUUUAAUCAUUUAAAUAAUUCGCACAGUGAUUUUUUAAUUAAGAAUGAGUUAUGGACCUUCUCAUUUCUUGGUUCAUUUUCGCAUCAAAUGUAUGAUAUAUAUGAUGUAUCUAUAACAAAAUUUGGCAUUUGUUCAUGCCAGAGCUUUAUACAGGACAUCUUGUUUCUUGCUUCUUAAACUUUACCUAUCAUCUCCAUUAUCCAACAUGACCACCAAACCUUAUUAGUUUGUCAUAAAGUUGUCAUUCCAUGUCAUCUAACAAGGAUAAUGGCCCAGUAUAUAUAUUGAAAUGUCAACCAUAAAUUUUUCACCAAAAGAACUCAGAUGUUGCUCACAAAACAAAACAUUUAGCCCCCAUUUGGCCCCCAUUAAUUUUGAUUAUAAUAGGGGGAAUAGUUUUUUUUUUUUUUUUUUUUUUUUUUUUGAAAAAUGGAUAGUUGUAAAAAAAUGAAAAGUUUUCGACUUACCUAUAAUAUUAUUUUAUUGAAAAUUGUGUGACUGAGAAUAGGAAAGAGAAAAUUUUAAUUUAAUGAGAUUUAAUGGGAGCCAAACGGGGGCUUAGUUAAGAAAAUCCAGAAAUUUGACAGUUAUGAGAUUUUAAAUAAGGAGUUAACCAAAUGAAGUAAGGAAAAAAAUUAUUUUUUCUAACCCUUAGAAAUCUUAUCAUUGGAAAGUAUCACACUUGUAUUACUAUUAACCAUAGAAAUCUGUGCAUUAUCUUGAGAGUUCAUCUGCAUUAUCUCUUUGUUGGCAGGUUGGAUAUCCAAAUUAGUCGUAGAAAUCUGAGCAUUAUCUUCAUAGUUUGACUGCAUUAUCUCUUUAUUAGCAGGUUGGACAUCCAACUUCGUUUUCGCUGUAAGAAAUCCUGCACAAACAAUGUAAGAAUUUCAUAAAAUUUCCAAAUCCAAUCAUGAAAUGUCACAUACAUUUAUCUAUUGUUUAUCCUACUGAAACAAUGGUGCACAUAAAUGAAUAGCUACCAGAAAAACAUAACAACAAAAGCAAAAACUAAUUAUUUGAGUCGUGAUAAAAAAAUGAGUGUAAUUAAGCUCACACCAAUAAUAUAAAAAUCGGGCAGAGCACGCUAUUCAGCAAUUUGCUUCAGAAUUUAGUUUAAGAAUUAUCAAAAACAAGCCCACUUCUCAGCACUUGAAUUAAACAAUUAUGGAAACCCUUUUCACUUUUUUAUUUCUUUUUAUUUGUGGAGAAAGAGGCCCUAGAUGAUGACAAGUGAUGAACUUUAAAUUCAUCUUUAGAAGUAACACUAAGCCCCUGUUUGACAAGGAAUUGAGUUUUGGGAUAGUAUUUUUUUUUAGAGAAUGUGUUGUUAAAAAGUAGGAAAAAGUUUUGGGUUUAAGUGCAAAAUAUUUUAUUGUGAGAAUAUAUGGUUGAAAAUGAGUUUGAGAAAAAAGAGUUGUUUUAAUGGUUAUCAAACAGGGGAUAAAUGUUUCUCCAGGUAGAAUAGAAAUUUUGAUUAAUAAUCGAGGAUCUAACUUCAACGAGUGACAAAACUAAAGAUCCCACAUCCAAUUUAAACUAAUAAGCUUGCAAACAGGGGUACAGGAAAUGGAGGCCAAGGGUAUCCACUGCCGCGAGUCCCCAUAAUCUCCCUCUAUCAUGCUAAGAUAAUGCACCUAAAAAAUAUGCAAAUUAUGCCUUGAAAACAAAUCCAUGCACGAAGUACAAAUACUCAUGAGGUCAUGGAGAGAAGUUCUUACUGACUAAUGUUUAUAAAUGCUCAAACAAGGACCGUGGCAUAAGCAACCUCCAAGCGUUUUGAGGCGUAAACCUCCACUCAGACCAAUAAAAGAAUUCCAAAAAAUAUAUAACUACAAAAAUAUGCUCAUGAUAAACUAUAAACCAUCAUGAAAAUCCACAAUUAAACAAUUUACCAAAAUUAAAAGUCUAACUUGCGAACAAAAAUAAGAUAGAUCAAAUAGUAAUCAGGUAACAAACUUGUACUACUGACUACUAGAAGAAAAAUCCUAUAAGUCUUCCAUAUAAUCACUUGGGAGAGAGUUUAUAACUUAGGUGUAGGAGGUUGGCACACUUGCCUUCUGCUCACUUUUGCAAUUUUUUUAAAGUUUUUAGGGUUGGGUUGGGUUAAAAGCAGCCCACAAAAUCCUUUAAAAUGUUCUAGGCUAUAAAAAAAUCCAACUCAAAAGUGUGGCCAAAAAUAAAAGACAAAACAAAAGAUAAAUGAGCGAGAGGCCUACACCUCGAGGCCUGUAUCUAAGUAAGUCGAGGUACAAACCUUCCAAAUGGCACUCGAGGCGUAAGCUACAAGCACAUGACAUAAGCCUUAGAUGAGAUGAGCCUCAAAGGGUAAAAGCUUGGGCACUUUUUAAAACAAUUAUCAAAACUACCCAACUUUCACGCUAAGAUCUAUUCAAUUUUCACCAAGAGUCAACAAUUCGGGCUACUUGGUGAAAAGCUAAUGCCAAUAUCAAUAUUUACCAGGAUCAUCGACGGUUCAACAUACUUCGGAUCAAAAUGAUCUCCAACAUAACACUAGGACUUAUCCAAGUUUUCAACAAGAUCAUCAAUAUCCUGGGGUAGUCAUGAUCAAAAUGAUCCCCAAACUUCACACUAUAGUUGAUCAGGGUUUUCACCGUGAUUACCAAUUAUGCAAGCUAAUCAAUAUGAACUCCAACUUCAAACUAGGUUCAAACCAACAGCAAACCAAGUACUUAAGAUAAAAACAUCUCCAAAUUCAUGCUAGGGCUAAUCCAGGUUUUCACCAAGAUCAUCUACAACCCAAGUUACUCAGGAUCAAAAUGGUCUACACCAUCAAUCUAAAGUCAAUACAGGAUUUCAAUAGGAUCAUUAACGAAGUACUCAUUCACUAUAUUCCCCAUAGGAAUAGUUAAGGGCAAUUGCUGGGCACGUCCAACACCUUAAUUGGGUUUGUUGUUAUAGAAAAUCCAUUGGAGAAAACUCGAUAGAGUUUGAGGGCAGUCAAAAUGAGACCUAAACAUAAUUGUAUUUGUAAGCAUCCACAAUUAAUGCUGUCCUAAAAGAACUUGAUCCAAGCUCCACCAUUGUAGGCCAGUCAAGCAAAUUAAAAUAUCUCAUCAAAUUAAGAUGCCAAAGCAAGUCCAUACCUACUCAAAAUUGUAGUGAAACAUACUUCUUAUGCAAGUAUGCAUGUACAGAUUUACAAACUUGCACAUACCCGAACCACCUACACCAGACCCACACACUGCAUAGAAAUUGUUAGAAAUAUGUUACAGCAAAUUUAGAAUAUUCCAACUCAUGUCUACGAUGUUAAUUAGUUAGUGAUUAGCCUGUUAAUUAGCAAAUUAGUCAGUUAAUUACUCAUCUUUUUUCUCUAUAAAUGGAGUCAUUGCAUUCAUUAAUAAAUCAUUGGAUUGUGGAAUUUCAAUCCCUCCUUUCAUGGAGGUUUCUUCUCCUCCAAUCAUGGAGUGUCUCUUUCUUCUGCUUUAUGGAGUUUAAUUUUAUUCAAUAAAUUCUAACAUGGUAUCAGAGCAAGGUGCUCUCAUCUAGAAAACUAUGGCGAAAUUCCCUGCCGACGGUUCUGCCUCAACAAUAUCAGGUGCAGAAACAGAGGGAAAUUCCUCAAUUGGUCAGAAUGCAUUCGAGAAUUCCUCGUUUCAACUUACUGUUGAAAAAUUAAACGAGAAAAACUACCGUGAAUGGGCCAGUCGAUUAAACUGGUGAUUGAUGGAAAAGGAAAGUUGGGCUACCUUACCGGCGAGACAAAGAAACCGGCCGACACAGCUCUGCGGCAACGAUGGCACUCCGAAAACUCCAUUGUCAUUGCUUGGCUAGUGAACUCGAUGAAGCCCCCUAUAGGGAAAACCUAUAUGUUCCUUCCUACAGCGAAAGAUGUAUGGGAUGCUGUAAAAGACACCUACUCAGACGCCGAAAACACUUUCCAAAUCUUUGAAUUGAAAACCCGCUCAUGGCAGACCAAACAAGGGACACGAGAUGUCACAGAAUAUUUCAUGGAAAUGACAUCUCUUUGGCAAGACCUCGACCUCUGCAGUGAAGAAGAAUGGAAGUGUCCCGACGACAUCACCUUGUACAAGAAGAAGCAAGAAAACGAAAGGGUCUAUGAAUUUCUUGUCGGCCUGAAUCGCGAACUCGAUGAAGUUAGAGGCCGAAUUUUGGGACGCCGCCCACUGUCUUCCACUCGAGAGGUGUUUGCAGAAGUACGCCGCGAAGAGGCUCCAUUAUAAAAAGAACGGGCCAAAUUUGGGCCAAAAAUUGAACAUAUUAAUGGGCUUGUUAAUGGCAGUGAUGGUUUGGGCUUUUCAAAAGGAAUUAUAAAUGGGUCAACCCAAAAACAAUGGGGUCGUCCUUGGUGCGAGCACUGUCGUAAGUCGGGUCAUAAAAUAGAUACAUGCUGGGAAAUUAAUGGGAAGCAACUGGAGACCUAAGCUAAACUCGAGGAGUCGGGGACAUCAGGUUGAAACGAAAAACAAUUCAACUGCAAGCAAUACAUUUAAUUCCGAGCAAUUGGAACAACUCUAUCAACUAUUUGCAAGCUUUCAAACCUCCGGUCAGUCUUCUUCUCCAAAAGACCCCUCUAGCUCACUAGCCCACAAAGGUAUCUUUCCUAGAGCCUUAAAUACUUCGAAAUAUAAAAAUGCUUGGAUUAUUGACUCCGGAGCAUCUGAUCAUAUGACGGAUUCGUAUCAUCUAUUCAAUUCAUAUUCAACUUGUCCUAGCAACAUCCGAGUUAAAAUUGCAGAUGGCUCACUUUCAUCUGUUGCAGGAAAAGGGAGUAUUCGAACAUCUGAGUCCUUAACAUUGGAUUCUGUUCUCCAUGUCCCAAAUUUAUCUUGUAACUUAUUAUUUGUCUGUCAAGUAACAAAAAUUUCCAAUUGCUCUGCUAAUUUCUUUCCAUCUUAUUGUGUCUUUCAAGACCUUUCAUCGGGAAAGACGAUUGGCAAUGCUAAAGAAUGCGAGGGAUUAUACUACUUUGAGGAAGCUGAUGUGAGUUCACGAGGUCAACUUUCACAAUGUAAUUCUACAUCUACCUUUAAAGAUAGAGAAAUCUUGUUAUGGCACAAUAAAAUAGGUCAUCCUAGCUUACUAUAUUUAAAACGUGUUUGUCCUUCAAUUUUCAUGAAUAAAACACCUAUUGAGUUUCAAUGUGAAAAUUGUGAGUUUGCAAAACAUCAGCGUACAUCUUUUCCAAAAUCAAUAUACAAACUAUCCAAACCAUUUGCUAUGAUUCACAGUGAUCUAUGGGGACCUUCCCACACCCCUAACCGUACCCAAACAAAGUGGUUUGUCACAUUUAUCGAAAAUCACACUCGAGUAUGUUGGGUUUAUCUGCUGAAAGAAAAAGCCGAUGUUCGAUCAAUAUUUAUGAACUUUCAUUCCAUGAUCCUGACGCAAUUUCAAACACAAAUUCAAAUUAUCCGCACUGACAAUGGCACAGGAUAUUUUAAUGCUACUUUGCAAGACUAUUUAAAAAAAUAUGGAAUAGUCCACCAAAGUUCAUGUGUCCAUACCCCACAGCAAAAUGGGGUUGCUGAACGAAAAAACAGGCACAUACUAGAAGUAGCUCGUGCCUUAAUAUUUACAAUGAAUACGCCAAAAACAUUCUGGGGAGAUGCAAUUCUAACUUCUACUUAUCUAAUAAAUUGAUUGCCCAGUCGGACCCUCUCUUUUGACUCACCUUUAAAAAAACUCCAAAAACGCUUCCCAACAUCCCAUCUUAAUUCAAACCUACCCUUAAAAGUGUUUGGUUGUACUGCAUUUGUACACAUUCACUCCCAACACCGCAAUAAACUUGAACCACGUGCCAUUAAAUGCACGUUUAUUAGGUACUCUCCCACUCAAAAAGGUUACAAAUGUUAUGAUCCUUUGGGUGAACGGGUUCUCGUGAGUCUCGAUGUCACUUUUUUUGAAACCACACCUUACUUCUCAAAGCCUUCUCUUUAGGGGGGAAACUUGAACGAAGAUCGGCUCUCCAAUCAUGAAUUCUUAGACUUUGAUCUCAACCCUUCUGACCUCACACAUACUAAUCCUCCUAGUGUGUCAUAUACAGAAGAAAACUUGAAUUCAAGGGGAGAUGGAGAAAAGCAAAGUGACAAGGAGAUACUAGUUUACUCACGAAGGCCUAAAUCAAAGUAUAAUGAAACCCUCGCAACUGAAGCACCAAAAGAGUCGGAACCGGUGAUAGGAACUGAUAAAGAUCCUUUCAACAAUCCAAGUGAUGAUCUACCUAUUGCUCUCAGAAAACCAACCAGAUCAUGUACUUUACAUCCUAUUUCAAAAUUUAUGUCUUAUAGUGCUCUAUCUACAAAAUUUCGUGCCUUUACGACUAAUCUUGACAAAACAGAAAUUCCAAGAAAUAUUCAAGAAGCCCUUGAGUCACCCAAAUGGAGAGAGGUGGUAAUGGAGGAAAUAAAAGUUUUAAAGAAAAAAGAAACGUGGGAAGUGGCAAACCUACCAAAAGGCAAGAAACCUGUCGGCUGCAAAUGGGUUUUCACUGUGAAGUACAAGGCAGACGGGACAAUAGAACGUUACAAAGCUCGUUUAGUUGCCAAAGGGUAUAUUCAAACCUAUGGCAUUGACUACACAGAAAUAUUUGCACCAGUGGCAAAAUUAAAUACAAUCCGAGUUCUCUUGUCGUUAGCAGUGAAUUUAGACUGGCCACUUCAACAGUUGGACAUUAAGAAUGUGUUUCUCAAUGGGGAACUAGAAGAAGAAGUUUUCAUGAAAAUACCACCAGAUUUCAACAGGUUAAAUAAGGAAAAUCAAGUGUGUAAACUCAAGAAGUCCUUAUAUGGACUAAAACAGUCACCUAAAGCAUGGUUUGAUAGAUUUGCAAAGGUACUGAGAACUCAAGGAUAUCAGCAAGGACAAUCGGAUCACACCAUGUUUUACCAUCAAUCAGGAAAUGGAGCAAAGACUAUCUUAAUUGUUUAUGUGGAUGAUAUCAUUUUGACAGGAGACAACAUAACUGAAAUAGAAAGAUUAAAGCAGUGCCUAGCAACUGAAUUUGAGGUAAAAGACCUCAGACAAAUGCGAUAUUUCCUAGGAAUGGAAAUUGCAAGAUCAAAAACAGGUAUCAGUGUUUCCCAAUGAAAAUAUAUUCUUGAUCUGCUAACCGAAACCGGUAUGUUAGGAUGCAAACCAAGUGAUACACCUAUUGAGGCAGGAAAAGUGAAAAAGGACACUCGAAAACCCGUGAAAACAGACAGGUAUCAAAGAUUAGUCGGUAAAUUGAUCUACCUCUCACACACUAGACUCGACAUUGCUUUCGCCGUCAGUAUGGUCAGUCAGCAUAUGCACUCUCCUAAAGAUGCUCACCUAAAAGCAGUAUAUAAAAUUCUCAGAUAUCUAAAAGGAACUUCUGGAAAAGGUCUGUUUUUUGGAAAACAUCAAAAGAAAGGAGUAAAAAUAUUCAUAGAUGCCGAUUGGGCUAGAUCCAUAGAAGACAGAAAAUCAACUACUGGCUAUUGCACAUUUGUGUGAGGAAAUAUGACAACUUGGAGAAGUAAGAAACAAAAUGUAGUAGCCAGAAGCAGUGCUGAAGCUGAAUUUAGAGCCGUUGCACAAGGAAUAUGUAAAGGACUUUGGAUAAAGAAACUCUUGGAGGAACUAAAAGUCGGAGUCGAGUUUCCAAUCAAACUCUAUUGUGAUAAUAAAGCAGCUAUUAACAUCUCUCUCAAUCCAGUACAACACGAUAGAACAAAACAUGCGGAAGUGGACAGACAUUUUAUCAAAGAAAAGGUGGACAAUGGAAUCAUUUGUAUGACAUACAUUCCUACAAAAGAACAAACCGCAGAUUUAUUUACAAAAGGGUUAUCCAGGCCAACAUUUGACGACCUUAUUAGCAAGUUAAACAUGAUCAACAUUUACAGUUCAACUUGAGGGGGAGUAUAGAAAAGGUCCGAGUAUGGAAAGAAGACAAGAUAUAGUAAUUAUAAUCAAUUAGUGAUUGUAAUCUUUUAGUUUUUUGGUAGAAUAGUUUUAUUCCUAUUUUAGAAGAUUAGUUUCCUUUUCCUAUUACUCGUCCUGUGUAUAUAUACUUACUGUAAUCAAUGUUUUUACUAUUGAAGAAUUAGAAAUUUCUUUCAAUCUCGUUUUCUUCAUGGUAUUAGAGCAGAGUUGUUCUUGCUGCUGUGUUUUUCUGAGAUUUUCAUCCCCUCUUUCUGUGUUCUGCACAAAUGAAAGCAGAUCUCUAAUUUCUUCUAUUUUAGCAUAAUUCUGAAAAGUGUUAUUCUAGUAAAAGUUCAGUUCCCAUCUUCGAAAAAUGGCGCCAGCAACAUCAAAAUUCGUCCUUGAUUCUCUGCAAUAAAAUUUCUCCUCUUUGAGAUUUUGGUUCUCUGAACUUUCAAAGAUCUUUAUGGAUGGUCAAAGCCUACACUAAAUCUUGUUUCUCCAUCAGAUCUGGUGAAAUCUGAAGACCCGUCAGUUUGCUACCAUUGAGAACAUCAUCCCUUUCUGCAAUAUGAACCUUACCAAGUUUGUCGUGCAAAACAAGUCUCCUCAACUCUGAAAACAUUGUGCACUGGCACGAAAUGGAAUGGGAAUGGAAUGUCUGGUGAUGUUUCGUGCUGAUCUAAUGGAUGCUCAUAUGUAUGGAUUCAAGAGAUUUGUUCUGCAAGGCUAUUCAUCAUGGUUUUUCCCUCCAGUACUCUUUAAUCUUCAAGAUGAACUAUUGUUGAUAUCUAUAGUCCAUCUUGAGGGGGUGUGUUAGAAAUAUGUUAUAUCAAAUUUAGAAUAUUCCAGUUCAUGUCUAGGAUGUUAAUUAGUUUGUGAUUAGCCUGUUAAUUAGCAAAUUAGUCAGUUAAUUACUCAUCUUUUUUCUCUAUAAAUGGAGUCAUUGUAUUCAUUAAUAAAUCAUUGGAUUGUGGAAUUCCAAUCCCUCCUUUCAUGGAGGUUUCUUUUCCUCCAAUCAUGGAGUGCCUCUUUCUUCUGCUUUAUGGAGUUUAAUUUCAUUCAAUAAAUUCUAACAGAAACGUACAACAAUCAACCCACAAAAUACAACACAACAUUUUUUGCACCUGUUUGGUGCCUCAAGUCAAUGUCAACGAUUAACUUUAUCCACACAUUUCACGGAGCCACUACUUUUCAACCACUCAUUUCAUCUACUUUUAUCAAAUCUAUAAAACCAAACAGGGCAUCAUCAAUCAGAACCCCCCCCCCCCAAACACACACACACACAAAAGAAGAAGAAAAGAAAAGAAAGUAAGAAAAAACUACUAAUUACAUUUCUCAGAAAAAUGAAAAAAAUUGAAGAAAUCCGAUUCAUAUAUCCCCACGCAAACAAUGCAUAUGCAUAACUUAUAUAACUUUAAACUAAAUAGACAAAACUUACUAGCAGGUGGCAUGGGGGGCGGCGGAAUUACAAAAUCCGGCGGAAGUUCAGGAACUGAAAUAUGGAGAAAUGGAGCUACCGCUACAGGACGAGCUUCGGAAACUGGAAGUGCAGCGCUUGGCACAAUCACAGGAACUGUAGCAGCUGUUGAAGGUUUCUCCCAUGGCGGAUUUGGAACAACAGCUUGAACACCAGCACACGGAUGAGCGGCAGAGCUAGAGGACGAGGGCUGCAGGUACUGUUGUUGGCCAGACUGAGAGGGUUGGGCAAUGAAGUGGUCGCAAGCAAUUCGUGCCACCAGAUUUUGAGCCUCUUUAGAAGAUUUGCACUGAUUCGGAGUCUCGAAAGCUUGCCCAUUAACGUUCACGACGCCUUUGAAUCGAGGCAUAUGAUCUGGGCCAUCUCUCGCCGUCGUAUACUCCGGCAAACUCCAGCCCCUCUUCUGGCACAAUUCUUGCAAUUUGCAUUUGUACAUUUUCACUAGAAAAUUGAAGAAUUUAGGUGACUUUUGGGUUAGGAAACGUAUUUAAUAUAGCCAUAUUCAAGUACAGUAAGCUUCACUUUUGAAGAAUCUAACCCUCUGAAUUUUAAAUCUAACAUCUGAAUUUUAGCUUUUUUCCACGUGGUGAGGUGGAAUAAUACUUGAACUGAAACCAUUAGUAUAUAAAAAAAAAUAUUAAGUCCAUAUUUGAUGAAUAUUGAAAUAAAACGUUUAGCAGAUUUUAAUAAAUUUUAUGAAAUUUGUGGUUAAAAAAUUAUAAAUUUCAUUAAAUAUAUGAUUAAAGUAAAUUAUUAAUUUUAACUUUGAUAAAAAAUUAGAUUAUUAUUUCUAACAACCAUGGGCUAAAUAAAAGAUAAGAAAACAUACAUGUUUAUUAAAAAUGUAAAAUAAACAGUCAAAAUAGAGAGUAAUGUUACGUUGGAGUGUAUAAAAGAUUUUACUACGCUCUUUAUAGUUGUCAGUUCGAGAUAUACUUAAAGAUAAAAAAUUUACUACUUGUUUGAGAUAAAUUUUCUGAGAAAAGAUUUCGUAAAAGAUUAAUUUUUUUAAGAUUGUGCAGUUAAAAAGUUAUGGAUCCAUAUGCAAAAUUAUUUUAUUCAAAAAAAUACGAGAUUAAAAAUGAGGUUGGAAAAAAAUGAGUUUUAAAAAAUCUUUACUAAACGACAACUUAAUAACCAUAUGUUUUCUAAUCAAAUUCUAUCAAUUAUAUGUUGAUAGCAAAAAUAGUAAGAUUUUUAUUAGUACAAGAGUGUCAACUAAAAUUUUAAAGAAUUUUUUAAAAGAUUAUAAAAUUUUAAAGAAUUUUGUGAAUUUGAAAUCCUCGAGAAUUUUAUUAAAAAUGAUGAAAUUUUCAAAAGAGCUUAUUGUAUGUUUUUAAACUUGAAAUUCAUCCAAAUAAUUUGAAAUCAUUUUAUUAAUUUUUGUAAAUUCAUAGAAUAUCAAGAUGCUAGAUUUCAAAGGAUUUCAUUAAUAUUUAUUAACAAAAUUCUCUUGAUUUAUGGUCUAUUACCGAAAGAAAUCGUGGCCCAUGAAGAUCCAGAUCCAGUGAUGUCCAAGUUUUCAGAAUAGCCAGCCCAAAAUCAGAUCAACACAUGUUUGGCAAAGUUUACAAGUGUUUAUAAGCAGAUUAAACUGCAUUUUCUAUCCACCAUUGCUCAACUUUUACCUGCUUAUCAUCCACACAUCUCGUUGGAUACAUAGCUUAUAUACAUUACUAAACGGGUUGUGCAAUGGGUACAUUGAGAGUGUCAUAAGGGUGUCCAUAUCCCCGCACCCCCCCAAUGGGGAGGGUGCCUGGGGGCCAUCAAUCUGAAGAAUUUCUUCAAUUUUUUCAUUCAUUGAGGGAAUAAUCCUUACUAAACAAGCACAAUCUGAAGAAUUUCUUCAAUUUUCAUUCAUUGAGGUACAUUAGUCAGAGCUAGGAGCCUAUCAAACAAAUUGAUAGACAUGUCACUGGACAUACCGAAUAUAUUUUGAAAACGAAAAAAAAAAAAAAAAAAAAAAAAAAGGAACACCAGAAAAUGCGAAAAAAAGAAAAGAGAGAGAGCCAUUGGAUAGAUUACACCUACUUAACUUUAUCAUGAACCACAGUUAUUGAAGCAUUAGAAAUAUUUCCUUGAAAUGUAAAAAAACAAUAAAUGGAGCAAGAUUUCAGACUGCUGAUGAGCCAUAAACCAGUCAUUUGGCACUUGCAAGCUCAGUGCGGAGGAGCUUGGCAGCAGCAACCAUGUUUUGGAGUGCUGGCUUCACUUCAGCGUACUUGCGAGUCUUAAGACCACAGUCGGGGUUGACCCACAAGAUAUUGGUUUCGAGCACAGCAAGCAUCUUAUUAAUUCUGUCGGCAAUUUCUUCGGUUGACGGAAUUCUUGGGGAGUGGAUAUCAUAUACACCAGGUCCAAUUCCAGCACCAUACUUCACUCCCUCACGGAAGACUGAAAGGAGCUUCUCAUCAGAACGAGAGUUCUCGAUGGUGAUGACAUCAGCAUCCAUGUCAAUGAUAGAGUGAAUGAUAUCAUUGAAAUUUGAGUAGCACAUGUGGGUGUGGAUCUGUUGGUUACAAAAGAUGAUAUCAUUAAUAGCCCAACGUGGCUGCCCAAUUAAAGACACCGAAAGUUUGAAUCAUAGGUAAUGGAAGUUAAAGGACGUGAGGAAAUCACCUGGGUGGUGUCCUGUACUCCGACGUUGGUAAUUCUGAAAGAGUGAACAGCCCAGUCCAAGUAGAAAGCAUGCUCGGCUUUCCUAAGAGGCAAACCCUCUCUCAAUGCAGCCUCGUCAAUUUGAAUAACAGUGAUGCCUGCCUUCUCAAGAUCCUCCACCUCGUCCUUUAUGGCCAAAGCAAUCUGAUAGCAUGUUUCAAAUCUGCAAACCAAGAAUGUAUCAAGUUGAUUUUCUUCUGAAUCAUGAGAAAGACAGACCAAGGUGUUCCAUUUAAUUUUUCCCCAAAAAGAACUACGGGUGAUGGACAGAAAGGGAUCGAGUAGUUCCUAUAUACCUUGGUUGGUCAUUUCGGACAAAAGACCAGUUGAGAAUGGUAACAGGGCCAGUAAGCAUUCCCUUCAUUGGGCGCUUGGUCAUGGUCUGGGCAGCAGUGGACCAGAAGACAGUCAUUGGGUUGGGACGACUCACAUCACCAUAGAUGAUCGGUGGCUUCACACAGCGAGAUCCAUAAGAUUGAACCCACCCAUUAGCAGUGAAGGCAAAACCAGACAACUGCUCUCCAAAGUACUCAACCAUGUCGUUCCUCUAAAAUGUAGAAAUCCAAAAAAGGUAAAGAUAUUAGGUUAUAUAUGAUGUUAAGAUUGGCUAUUAAGGAUAAAUAAAGUAACCAUUAUAGAAUUGAUAAACAGUAGGAGAUUUGUGUUUAUUAGUUUUGUGGACAAGCACCCCAUUUUAAUUACCUCUGGCUCUCCAUGAACCAGAACAUCAAUGUCAAGCUCUUCCUGAAGCUUGACGACUUUGCUGAUUUCCUCUUUGAUAGCCUUAACAUACUCCUCCUCGGAGAUCCUGAAAGAUAGAAUCAUAUUUUUUAAACAAUAACAUAAAAGAACAAAUCAACUACACAGUUAAAUGCAGGUAGAAAACACUCACUUCUUGGCCUUGUAUUCACGGCGAACUCUUCUGAGUUCUAUGGUCUGAGGGAAAGAACCAAUAGUGGUUGUUGGGAGAAUUGGAAGGUUUAGCUUCUUUUGUUGAGCAUCAAGUCUAGCACUAACAUUGGUAGCACGACGGUGGUCAGAACCCCUCAAAGCUGCAGCCUGGGUAACCGCAAGUAGUAUUGAUCAGUAAGACAGGACAUUUCGGCAGCAAAUGCAAAAUUCUAAAGUAGAAAUCAUAAAGAAUAAUCACUUACAGCCUUUUGAACAGCUUCAUUGGUGACCCUUGGAGAGUUUUUGCGAGAUGCCUGAGCAGCAGCAUUAGCAGAGAAGAAUGCCUGAAAGGUAAAGAGCAACAGUCAAGUGCAGUCAUUAACAUGCCUCCCUCCUGCAAAUUUAAUAUAGACUGAAAAGUGAUAUGUACCUCAUCCUUCUGACCAGCCAGUGCCUUUGCCAAAGCAUUUACUUCAACAACUUUUUGGGCAGCAAAUGCAAGCCAUGAUUUGAUUUCUGUGUCCAGCUUAGUCUCGUUAACUAGAUCAACAGCAGUGUGGAGAAGCGAGCAGGAGGUGGAGACAACAAGCUUUUCUGCAUCACAAAACAGAGGAAAAUUGACCCUCUGUAGAAGCGAAAUUCUAAAAUAGUGACGCAACUUUGGGCUACGUACCAUUUCCCACAAUUCCUUCCAGAGAUUUCAGGGUAAUGAGAGAUGCAUCUAGAUCAUUAGCCCAAAUGUUCCUUCCAUCAACCACUCCGGCAAACAGGUACUUCCCAGAAGGGAGUCCACCCUUUAUUAAAUCAAGAGUCUUGGUUCCACGAAUCAAGUCAAAACCAAAGGCAGUGACUCCCUUUAGGGCAGUAAGGGUUUUGAAAGCAUCAGCAGGGACAUCAGCAAAGUAGGUUUCAACCAGGACAUUAAGGCCAGAAAGUGAUGAUUCAAGUUCAACAUAGGCCUUAGUGAAUGCUUUCAGUUGGUGAGAAUCAAGAUCCAUCACUAGGGUGGGCUCGUCAAACUGAAUCCAAGAGGCACCAGCUACCUUCAACUCAGCGAUUACUUCCCUAUGUGCAUGUCAUACAUUUUAAUAUCAACCUCGGAAAUUAAAAUGAAUAACACCAGUAAUAAAACUGGAAAAGUUGAGCAUUUCCUACUUGUAGAUAGGAAGGAUUUUGUCAAGAAGAGAAAGAAGAGGGAAUGUUUUCUCCACGCCCUUGGCAGGUUUAGAGAGUAGCAAGUAUGUGACUGGGCCAAUAAGUACUGGAACUGUAUCUACACCAAGCUGCAUACAAGAAGUGUCAAAUUGAUCAGGUUCCAGUAAUUAGAUUGUAAAUCUAACUAAUUUAUAUAACAAAGAUACAUGGCACAAUGCAACAUUAUGUUAAUAGAAUGUAAGGUAUUGAAGAUUCCAAACGGUAGCCAUAUCACUGUUGGCAUUUUGUCAUAACAAAAGAUGUGGUCAAAGGUUCAUGGAUACACUAUUACAAAUUGAAAAACUCGUACACCUUUCAUUUUUUUUAUCUAAUCGUAAAAUUUUAGUACCACCAAGUUUAAAGACUAUAUAGGAUCGGACGAGACAACAAUGGCUAGUCAAGUAGCAUAAACAACAUACCGACUUAGCUUCUUUGUAUUCAGUCACAGCCUUGUGAGAAGCAUAGGAGAAUUUCACAUCAGGUCCUAAUUCGGGCACAAUGAAGUGGCUGAAUUUAUAAAUGAACCACACUGGUCAGUACUUCAAUGUCACAGGUAUAAUAAAGAAAAAGAAAAAAAUUGAGAGGUUUAACCAUUCACUUACUAGUUGGUGUCAAACCACUUGGUCAUUUCCAUAGCAGGAACAGAGGCAUUUCCUCUGGCCAUGGAGAAGUAAGUGUUGAACCCAAUCUCACCACCAUUCCAGUUGUACCUUGUGGGGACAGCACCAAGCAUUGCGGUUGUGUCGAGUACCUGAUCAUAGUAAGAGAAUGUGUUGCUAGGAAUAUACUUGAUACCAGCAUCAGCCAUCUGCUUCCAGAUAGAUGAUCUGAGAUCAGCUGCCACCUUUUGCAACUCCUCGGCACUGCUCUUUCCAUCCCAGAAAGAUUCCAGAGCAAACUUCAAUUCUCUCUUGGGGCCCAUGCGGGGAUAUCCAACAAUAUGAGAUGCCAUCUUUCUAGUUCACCAAAAUUCAAUCAAUCAAAUAAUAUUAGAACCAUAAAACAAUAAAACUUGAUUGUUGACAUAUUCAAUUUUACAUCUUCAAAAAAAUCACAGGCAAGAGGACCAUGAAAAACGUUAUAUGCUAGAUCCUUAACUCUAAACAAAAAGCAAGAUAACAUUCAUAAAUCCGUUUAAUUUAAAUUUUAAUCAGUAAUCAAAUAAAGAUCUCGCCAACUAAAAACUUCAUUUAUCACAACGAUGUAUAUCUGUCAUUACGUUAUGUCUUUCUUUGUACAGUCUUUUUGACGCUAUACAAAACAGGGUUCGCUAGAUUUAAAUCAUGCUAAGGUAAAAUCACAUGUACGUGCUGAAAAAAUGAAAUUGUGAUGGAUUGAAAAUUCAAGACAAUAACACUUGAUUACAAUGAAAUAGCCCGGACUAACCAAACGUUAAAAUAUGCAGUAUAUUAAUUCAAUCAGAUCCAGCAACAUUAAAGAAAUUCCAGGUCCCAGUAGUGAACAACAACACGUGAUUACAAGGAAGUGCGAAGCAAUGCAGAUAGAUAGAACAGAAUUAAAUACACCCAAUAGCCACUUCAUGAGAGAUAUAUUCAGAUGGAAGUUCCUAAACACAGAUCUACAAGUUCCCAUAGCAUGUGCGAUCUAACCUUUAAAGUUUAUCACAGUACAUAAUUGUAUAUUACUGCAUCGUAAUGGAUUGGAACAACAGAAAAACACUAGAUCACGUCAUAUUUUCAAGUAGAAAUUCUUACAAGUAGAUCUAAGCAAUAUGAAACAAAAAUUCCAAAAGGGCACUCCAAGAACUACAGAUUGACUAACUUCAAAAAAGAAUAAACUAAAACAAUGGGAUCGAAAUGAGUGGACUCUGAAGAACGUGAGGGAACGGGAACCCGUACCUUUAGGAAGUGGGUGGUGGUCGCAAAUGAAGGUUCUGUUAGAGAGAUGGGCUGACGCGAGUUUGGAGAGAGGAUGAACGUGCUCAUUUUAUAGAGAAGGAAGGUCGGUGUCGUGGUAGGUCUGAGAGUUGAAUUUUGGGCAUUUUGCUGAUUACGGUGAAAUUGUGAGAGGGAGGGACGACGGUGACGCGCUUCCUGAGGAGUGUGUAGGGAACGGAGAAGUUGGUGUACCACCAACCCCGGGAAUUAGUAUAUCAAAUGUGGGAAAUCCACGUGUAGAGUUUAUGAUUUGAUUGGGGCCAUUUUCGUAAUUUGGUAUCUGUUCUUCUUUUUUUCUUUUUUUAUUAUUAUUGUAUUCUUAUCUUCGUUUUCAUUAAUUAGUAUAUAUAUUAUUUUCUGUAAUGAUUUUCCUCCAAAAAUUAUGUUUCAUGAUCCAAUUUAAUGGCAAAUAGCUAGUUGCAUUUUUAUAUUUAUUGUUUUGAUUUAUAAAAUUAUGAAGGAUGGAUACAUUUUUUACUUCCUUUUAAUAUAAUUUUUGGACAAAAUCGUUGUCAAGUUACAUUUUUGUUAUAUUUAAUUUUUUUCAAAAAAAAAAGUUGUUUACACACUCUUAGUGGACUUUGUAAACAAAAAUCAUUAACAAUAACAUUGUGCUAAUUAUCAGAAUGUUGAUUAAAAUGUUACGAACAAAGUUAAGUGUUAUAAGUAGUAAAGAUUUUUUUUCAUAAUCGGGAAUGUUCGGUCCAACUUAUGCGCAUUUCGACUAAUUUCACGAGAUUCUAAAGUUUACAAUCAGAUACUUACCUUAGUGGCUCAUGAAUUUGAACUGAUAUAAUUAGUAAAGAUUAAAAAUUUUUAAGUGUAAUUAAAAUGUGAAGCAAUAAAUAAAAAUUGAGGUAGGAAUGUAAUUUACAUGCACACAAUUCUAGAAAGCGUCUCUUGUUUGGUUCGUGGGGGUGAUUCUGACAGAAAAGUAAAAUUCAUGGUGGCAAAAGCCAAGAAUGUGUGGCUGGUACUGGCGGCGAUUGUUAGCCACCGCACCUCUUUGCAACUAUGGUCUACUAGAUUUCCAAAACUACCCUCUUUACUUUCAAAUGACUGCAGUUCCCACAUGUAAAUUAGGUAAGUGGGACCAUUUUAAAUAUUUUCUUAAAGAGGACGAAUUUCGUACGCGCAGAUGAUACUGGCCACCCCAAAAAUUGAUAUUUUCCCUGUCUUUAUUAUAAUUCAUAAUAAUAGCCACACAAGUUAAAAAUAAAUAAAUAACAAUAAUAACAAUUAUAAUAUUAUACACACACGCAAUUCGCACGUUGAGAUUAUAAAAAUUGGCACUAAUGUUAACCACAUGAAACAAAGAAUGAGUUAACUUCGUGCCAAGAUCGACUCGUAAUGUUUUUAAAAACGUCCAUGCCAUUUUCAUUGAUCAAGAAAUUUACGUUGAUGAGGUUGAAAUUAAGAAAGUCAUGUUGAAAUAGGAUUGAGGCUUUGUGAACUACUUAAACUUAUGGGUUGAAUUUGUUGAGACAUGAGCUAGAGGUUAAAAAAAUAAAAAUUUCUCAUUUGUUUACUGGAUUUGGGCUCUGAUUGAACUAUAGCUAAGUCCAACCCUUGACACCAUGCUGCGUGGCAUAACAUAUACCUAUCGUUUGAUAAAGAGAAAAAACGAACAUAGAUGUAAAAACUAUGAACUAAAAGUCAACCACUUUCUCAAGUUUCAAGUUAAAUUUUGCAAAUACAUAUGAAUUUUGGUCAAAUAACUAUGUCACUCUUCAAUUAUCACAAAAAUACUAUUAGAAUCUCACCAUCUAAGAUCAUGCUUUAUAAGUAAUCAAUAAAACAUAUUAAUGAAUGGUGGGUGGUUGCGUGAGUUCGUGGGUGGGUGGGUGGAUUUACAAUCAAUUAUUGAAAGCCACAGCCUCCUACUUCCAAUAUCUCUUGAGAGAUGAUCAUAUAAACUUGGAAAUUCAAUAAUUAUACCUUAAAAGAGAAUAUUAUAAUCCAAAAAGUUGAGAUAUGAUGGGGGAAUGGUGUUUAAAUUUAAGCAAAGUUGUAAUGAAGGUUUUUUCUCAUAGGUGGAAAGGGGUUGGUAAAGCUCAAUUAUAGAAUGAAAGUAGUAGUGGACGAGUUAUUUGUCUUUAUAUGUAAAAUAAUACUCUCGUAGUUGAAAUUUAGAAGCCAAUAAGGUUGUGGAGUUGAAGAAGUGAGCAUCCCUUAAAAUGUACAUGAGAAAGUCAAACACUUCCGACAAAACAUGUACAUCUAACCAUUUACGAUAUUUGUCCCUUCAUUUAAGAGUUGUUUAACAAAGGUUUUUAUAAAAGUUAUUAGCAGCUUUCGGUAAAAGCAGAUGUAAUAUGCUGUUGAAAAUUGAUAACAGUUGUGAAUCUCAUAAAGUGUAAAGUUAAAGUUGAAGUUUGACCAAUUGAACACUUGACAAGAACUAGUAUAAUGUGAGGGAAAUAUAAUGUUAUUUAUUCAUGGGCGGAUUCAAGAAAAUUUUUAAGAGGGCUAAUACUUAAUUAUUAUUAUUUUAUUUUUUUUAAAAGGUGAAUUGGGUUGGGGACAGGCUGUGUAUCCGCCAAUGCAUUUAUUGAUAUUGGAAAUAGAAAAUAAAGAUAUAGUAGUCUUGUUGUCGCUCGUUGGUGAAAGAUUCAGUAGUGGACAUUAACAUUGUUUAAAUCGAACAUGAUAAUGACAUCAAACUCUUUACUAAAAGAAAGUCCAAACUCCCCCAAUGGUGACUAGAAGUAGAUCAAGACUGCGUUAAUAAUUUGAUAUUGUCGUUUUCGCGCUCUUUUGAGGCUUUAAACCAUUCUUUUGAGCCGUUUCUACUUCUGAUUCAUUUCAACCUAAGAACUUCGUUCAACCUUUUGUCCAGAAACAUUUGAAUUCUCUGUCAGCAAAAGAUAAGAGGCAACCACUAGAAGCACAUCUAUGCUUCUGACUAUGUGGCAAGGAUUAAUUGUACUAGUGGUCACUCCAUAAUUGCAAUUAGGUCACUGAACUUCCAUCCAUAGCAAUCAGAUCAUGGAACUUCAAUUUAAUUACAAUUGGAUCACUUAAUUCAAUUACAAUCGAGUUAAUUUCAUAAUGAUAUACACAUUUAAGCAUUGGAGUCUUUUUGAGAGAAUUCUCCAAUCCAAUUUCCUAACUCCCUAUUGCUUUCAAAUGAAAGGACGACUGAUUUAGAGUGAAGUGUAAAAGAAAAACCUUCCAUUAAAUUUAUUAUUUAAUAAGUGUUUUUAACUUAUGAAUUUCAUAAGUUGUAUUACUGUAUGUGGUGGAUACGAUGAUAAGUCCACUUGAAUGUUCAUGUCUACAAACGUUAGUUUAACGGUUGAUUAAGCGUGUCUUUUACAUAGAUUGAAGGAAUAUGAAUAGAAGGAUUUAAUCGCAAUUAUAGAUCACUACAAUUUGAAGACCUUGAUGUUGUUGCUUGGCCAUUUAGUAUGUUAAAUAAAUUGUACUAAAACACGACAAAAUUUUUAUGGUCUUCUAUUGAGUUAGCUACAAUUUAGUGAAUUUCUUCAAACACGAUUAAAAUCGUUAUAAAAUUCAAUUUUGAAAUAAUUAUAUGGUGAGAUGUGAACAACUAUUUUUAGUCUUUUCUCAAACGAGAAAAGAUCAUUAAUAAGGCUAAAUUGAAACUUGGGUAGCUUAUUGUCAACUUUGCAUCGGUACGCUUGUCCUCCGAGACAUUUUCAUCU